UAGGGAAUCUUCCGCAAUGGACGCAAGUCUGACGGAGCAACGCCGCGUGAGUGAAGAAGGAUUUCGGUUCGUAAAACUCUGUUGUUAGAGAAGAACAGCGCAUAGAGUAACUGUUAUGCGUGUGACGGUAUCUAACCAGAAAGCCACGGCUAACUACGUGCCAGCAGCCGCGGUAAUACGUAGGUGGCAAGCGUUAUCCGGAAUUAUUGGGCGUAAAGCGCGCGUAGGCGGUUUUUUAAGUCUGAUGUGAAAGCCCACGGCUCAACCGUGGAGGGUCAUUGGAAACUGGAAAACUUGAGUGCAGAAGAGGAAAGUGGAAUUCCAUGUGUAGCGGUGAAAUGCGCAGAGAUAUGGAGGAACACCAGUGGCGAAGGCGACUUUCUGGUCUGUAACUGACGCUGAUGUGCGAAAGCGUGGGGAUCAAACAGGA
rnacentral:rRNA from 1 species